rnacentral:rRNA from 1 species
CAAUAGCGUAUAUUUAAGUUGCUGCAGUUAAAAAGCUCGUAGUUGGAUUUCGGGUGGGAAUGGCCGGUCCGCCGUUUCGGUGUGCACUUGCUACGCCCACUUUGCUGUCGGGGACGUGCUCUUGAGUUCACGCUCGGGACACGGAGUCGGCGAGGUUACUUUGAGUAAAUUAGAGUGUUCAAAGCAGGCCUACGCUCUGAAUACAUUAGCAUGGAAUAACACGAUAGGACUCUGGCCUAUCUUGUUGGUCUGUAGGACCGGAGUAAUGAUUAAGAGGGACAGUCGGGGGCAUUCGUAUUUCAUUGUCAGAGGUGAAAUUCUUGGAUUUAUGAAAGACGAACUACUGCGAAAGCAUUUGCCAAGGAUGUUUUCAUUAA